AACGAACGCUGGCGGCAGGCUUAACACAUGCGAGUCGAACGCCCCGCAAGGGGAGUGGCGCACGGGUGAGUAACGCGUGGAUAUCUGCCUUUUGGUUCGGAAUAACCCCGGGAAACUGGGGCUAAUACCGGAUGGUUCCUACGGGAUAAAGAUUUAUCGCCAAAAGAUGAGUCCGCGUACGAUUAGCUAGUUGGUGAGGUAAUGGCUCACCAAGGCGACGAUCGUUAGCUGGUCUGAGAGGACGAUCAGCCACACUGGGACUGAGACACGGCCCAGACUCCUACGGGAGGCAGCAGUGGGGAAUAUUGGACAAUGGGGGCAACCCUGAUCCAGCCAUGCCGCGUGAGUGAUGAAGGCCUUCGGGUUGUAAAGCUCUUUUGGCGGGGACGAUGAUGACGGUACCCGCAGAAUAAGCCCCGGCUAACUUCGUGCCAGCAGCCGCGGUAAGAC
rnacentral:rRNA from 1 species